rnacentral:misc_RNA from 1 species
AAGUCGUAACAAGGUUUCCGUAGGUGAACCUGCGGAAGGAUCAUUACAGAGAACCUGCCCUUCGGGGUAGAUCUCCCACCCUUUGUUUACAUACCUUUGUUGCUUUGGCAGGCCCGUUCUUCGGGACCGCCGGCUUCGGCUGGCCCGUGCCUGCCAGAGGACCACAAACUCUUGUUUAAUUGUCGUCUGAGUAUCAAUAUAAUAAGUUAAAACUUUCAACAACGGAUCUCUUGGUUCUG